rnacentral:lncRNA from 1 species
GGUUAAAUACCUAAACUUUCAGGGGCCUUUCUGCAAAACAGCCACGGUGGGUUUUCCGACAGAAGCGAUAACCUCUUUAUUAUUAGGUAAAGAUAUAAGAAUAUAGGGAAAGUCUAAAUUACGACGCCGCACAUCGUCUUUCCCGUGCGGCGGCGUGGAUAGCGAAUCGUGCAUGCAUCAUAUGAACGUAUGUUACCGUGUGGUGGAAGAAUGA